AUGGAUGCUUUGUCACCAACAAAGUUCGAAGACACGUUUGAGAGUUUCCCGGCAGAGAGCAACAUAGGUAAUGGUGAAGGCAAUCCGGAAAAUGAUGGUAAGCGCAAAAGAAAAAAGUCGAAAUAUUGCCAAUCCCCCUACGACAUUCUCAUUACCCGCAAGAAACGUGUUAAAAAAAAUCUGUUUGCAUCGUCACCACAUUCAAUUCUAGCAAGUUCUCUUAAUAUGACUCCGGUUCACAUAGAGGCAGCCAGAGUUUUUGUUGAGACUCUAGCAUCAACAAAGAAGCAUGCACACCGAACCGUGGUCGAUAUGCCGCCACCAGAUGGGGACAUAUGCACGCCAGCUAUGCUUCACGAUGUCCUGACGUUUAAAUGGUUGAAUGGCGCUGCGUAUUUUCCUAUGCACGUUAAUGAUAAUCAUUGGAUAACCAUGGUGAUGCACACCGUCAAGGAGGAGUUUCAAGUUCUUGACUCAAAUUCUAAAGGCGCAAUUAGCCAAAGAAUUCGCAAUAUGAUUGCCACCCUGAGAGCUGAAAUUUCUAAGGAUAUUAUGGAGGCCAACUCAACUCUUGAAUCAAAAAAAUUUCCAGAUGUCUCAUCGUGGCCAAUUAAUGAGUAUAAAAUGUCGAGACAAAAAGAUGGGUAA
rnacentral:rRNA from 1 species